rnacentral:rRNA from 1 species
UGGCUCAGAACGAACGCUGGCGGCAGGCCUAACACAUGCAAGUCGAACGAAGCCUUCGGGCUUAGUGGCGGACGGGUUAGUAACGCGUGGGAACGUGCCUUUCACUACGGAAUAGUCCCGGGAAACUGGGUUUAAUACCGUAUACGCCCUUCGGGGGAAAGAAUUUCGGUGAAAGAUCGGCCCGCGUUAGAUUAGGUAGUUGGUGGGGUAAUGGCCUACCAAGCCUACGAUCUAUAGCUGGUUUUAGAGGAUGAUCAGCAACACUGGGACUGAGACACGGCCCAGACUCCUACGGGAGGCAGCAGUGGGGAAUCUUGGACAAUGGGCGCAAGCCUGAUCCAGCCAUGCCGCGUGAGUGAUGAAGGCCUUAGGGUCGUAAAGCUCUUUCGCCAGGGAUGAUAAUGACAGUACCUGGUAAA